rnacentral:lncRNA from 1 species
UAUUCUCAGCCUUGUGUGCCAUAGAAAGACCUCAUUUUCCACCUCCAGAGAGACCAUCUGAGCCUAUCUCCUUUUGAAGUUGAGCACACACUUCAUCAUAGCCCGGAAGUUCAUUGUCUCUCAAUAUAUGUUUCACCACAUCAUUGAAGCUUAGGCUGAGUGUGAGAAGCAAUCCAAAGGUCUUGUCUUCCUCACGCCUGACUUCAAGUGUGUCAGGGUCAUUGAUCCUUAGCCUUAGCAUCUCCAGCUCA